rnacentral:tRNA from 1 species
GCGUCGGUGGUGUUGAGGCGUAGAACAUUCCCGCCCGGUCAGAGGGAGGUGCGGGUUCGAGUCCCGCCUGGUGCU